GCUCGAGCGAACAGACGAGGAGGCUUGCUCCUCUGACGUUAGCGGCGGACGGGGUGAGUAACACGGUGGAUAACCCUACCUAUAAGACUGGGAUAACUUCGGGAAACCGGAGCUAAUACCGGAUAACAUGUUGAACCGCAUGGUUCAACAGUGAAAGACGGUUUUGCUGUCACUUAUAGAUGGAUCCGCGCCGCUUUAUCUAUUUGGUAAGGUAACGGCUUACCAAGGCAACGAUGCGUACCCGACCUGAGAGGGUGAUCGGCCACACUGGAACUGAGACACGGUCCAGACUCCUACGGGAGGCAGCAGUAGGGAAUCUUCCGCAGUGGGCGAAAGCCUGACAGAGCAACCCCGCGUGAGUGAAAAAGGUCUUCAGAUCGUAAAACUCUGUUAUUAGGGAAAAACAAAUGUGUAAGUAACUAUGCACGUCUUGACGGUACCUAAUCAAAAAGCCACGGCUAACUACGUGCCAGCAGCCGCGGUAAUACGUAGGUGGCAAGCGUUAUCCGGAAUUAUUGGGCGUAAAGCGCGCGUACGCGGUUUUUUAAGUCUGAUGUGAAAGCCCACGGCUCACCCGUGGAGGGUCAUUGGAAACUGGAAAACUUGAGUGCAAAAAAGAAAGUGGAAUUCCUGUGUAGCGGUGAAAUGCGCAGAAUAUGGAGGAACACCAGUGGCGAAGGCAACUUUCUGGUCUGUAACUGACUCUGAUGUGC
rnacentral:rRNA from 1 species